CCGAAAGUGAUCUUGGCUGCUAUGCCCCGUCAUUGGUAGUGCAGGGAAAGGAUGCGGAGCUCGGGGCGUCUGGCCUGACCCCUCCAGAUCCUGAAGCUUUCCUACAAUGGUGUCUUUCUCUGCAGCCUUACAGAAGUGUGGAACUUUCUGGAAGCUGCACAAGUCAGUGCUGGGUCUUUGCAACUUGGUGUUCUGUUUCUAGAAACUUUGGGGUAUUUACAUGUGAUAGGUCAGCACAGAUAGAUUUCCAAUGGGUCCCUAGGAUUGUCACCUGUACUCAACAGUCCUCCUCGACUUUCCAGAAGAGGCUGGAACAGGGCCCUUGAAGAUGUUUGUGGACACCAGAGU
rnacentral:lncRNA from 1 species